AGCAGCCGCGGUAAUUCCAGCUCCAAUAGCGUAUAUUAAAGUUGUUGCAGUUAAAAAGCUCGUAGUUGAAUUUCGGGAUUGACGUGACGGUCGUGCCUUAAGGGGUAUGAACUGUCGCCGUUGAUUUCUCACCUUCUGGAGAAGCUCGAUGUCCUUAAUUGGAUGUCUUGUGGAACCAGGACCUUUACCUUGAAAAAUUAGAGUGUUUAAAGCAGGCAUUUUGCUCGAAUACAUUAGCAUGGAAUAAUAGAAUGGGACGGCAUGGUUCUAUUUUGUUGGUUUCUAGGAUCACCGUAAUGAUUAAUAGGGAUAGUUGGGGGCAUUAGUAUUCAAUUGUCAGAGGUGAAAUUCUUGGAUUUAUUGAAGACUAACUACUGCGAAAGCAUUUGCCAAGGAUGUUUUCAUUAAUCAAGAACGAAAGUUAGGGGAUCGAAGACGAUCAGAUACCGU
rnacentral:rRNA from 1 species